rnacentral:rRNA from 1 species
CAAGCCGGCUUUCCUUGCACUUUCCAGUCUAUGUUUUUAUAAUAUGCACCUAUAGUAUGUUUCAGAAUGUCAUUUAAUGGGCUUAACUGCCUUUAAUUACCAUACAACUUUCAACAACGGAUCUCUUGGCUCUCGCAUCGAUGAAGAACGCANCGAAAUGCGAUAAGUAAUGUGAAUUGCAGAAUUCAGUGAAUCAUCGAAUCUUUGAACGCACCUUGCGCUCCUUGGUAUUCCGAGGAGCAUGCCUGUUUGAGUGUCAUAAAAUUCUCAACCUUUUCAAUCUUUUAUUGGUUGAAUUAGGUUUGGAUGUGGGAGUCUUUUGCUGGCUUCUUUAAAAGGNCGGCUCUCCUCAAAUUUAUUAGCAAGACCUUUGUUGCCCUCUCAGCGUUAGUGUGAUAAUUAUCUACGCUAUUUGCUGAAAGCAACUCAUAAAAUAGGGUUUCCAGCUUCUAUCGUCUCUU